GAUGAAGAACGCAGCGAAAUGCGAUAAGUAGUGUGAAUUGCAGAAUUCAGUGAAUCAUCGAAUCUUUGAACGCACAUUGCGCCCCUUGGUAUUCCAUGGGGCAUGCCUGUUCGAGCGUCAUUUGUACCUUCAAGCUUUGCUUGGUGUUGGGUGUUUGUCCUGAGGGACUCGCCUUAAAGUAAUUGGCAGCCAGUGUUUUGGUUUUGAAGCGCAGCACAAGUCGCGAUUCAAGGCUAUACGCCAGAUUCCACAAGCCUUUUUCACUUUUGACCUCGGAUCAGGUAGGGAUACCCGCUGAACUUAAGCAUAUCAAUAAGCGGAGGA
rnacentral:misc_RNA from 1 species